rnacentral:tRNA from 1 species
UCCCUGGUGGCUCAGAUGGUAAAGAAUCUGCCUGCAAUGCAGGAGACCUGGGUUUGAUUCCUGGGUGGGGAA